CAUUUGGACGGUUGACUUAGCAUAUCUGUUAAACAAGUUUUCAGUCAGCUUUUCUUUCUGUACCGUGACCCUUGGAGCAAAUCCACAAUAUUUUGCUGAAUCCUUUUGUAGGGUACUUGUUCUGACAAACUUCUACUGCAUGAGGCUUCUAAAGUUCUCAUCAAUAAUGUUCUAAAAAAUGGUCAUUACAUAGGAGCAAUUGCAAGAAGACAUCGAUCGAGUGGUCGAGCUAUUUGGGAAGGCGCUCGAUGCUGGAAUUAGUAUUCAAGCCACUCAACCGCUAGAAGGCUGCCAAUAUGUGGGCAUUCAGUCAAUACAGAUUGUCUGCGCUUUUUUUGGGUUGGGCUCCAAAGUUGCAAUGUUCCAGUAUUCCUCAGUCGAAAUUUACAAUGCCUGCAAACCACAGCCUACUCUUGAGAUUCACAAUCCCGAUAUGCACAAAGAUGCCCCAAGGUAUGUUUAUACGCAUCUCAUUGCACUAAGGUAUUUAGCUGAUUUAAAAGCAGAUUCAUGACUCGCAAAAAAGUAAAGGACUGCUGUUUGAAGCUGUUUUGGUUUUGAUUGAACCAAGUUGCUGCCCUCGUGUUUCGUUCUCUGAUUGUUGAGUCUUCAAUGAGAGCUGAUUCUAGUUAUAUAGAGGUGAACAAGCUUUUGAUUAUUUCUUUUGUUAAUUUGGCACAACAUAUAGAGGUGAACAAGCUUAUUAAAGGAAGAUCCCUGUACAAUCAAGAGUUCAUACAAUAGAUGAAACGAUAUUGUGAUUCUCUCAAAGGUGGCUUCAUGAGCAAGCAAUCAUUCACCUUGUUCACUAAAAUUUCAGACUAUAGCUCAGAUAAGGCUUUGAGCAUUCCUUGCUACAAUGCUUCCGAGAGAAGGGAAACCGGCAAAGGGGAAAAGAGACGAAUAGAAGGGCAUUGGUGCCCUCUCACACACAGGUCAAGUAUACAUCCACAUGCCACAAGGCUGAGGCUUCCACAUGAACAAGAGAAUGGUGCACAUUGCCUUACAUGACACAUUUAUUUCCCAAUCACUGUGCAAUUCUUAGUUUAGUUCUGUAUUGGUUGUUGCCAAAUAAUUUGUGAGAUAUUGAGAUCGAUAACUUGGUUUAAGUAUUGCACCUUUUGACAAAUAUAAUUUGCCAUGAACAUGGAUAUUGAAGGCUAUACUCUGAAAUGCAGUCUCACUACAUAAUUGACUAAUAAAAAUCUGUUUUCUUAUUACAUGACUAGGGGUGCUUCCAGCAGCGCUGCCCAGCGGCUUACCGUGGACGCUGGACUGCCAGUGUUGCCUGGGUUAGAUGACAUAUUGGACGUCCCAGAAGGGCUUGACGGGCAGGGCAACGAUAUCAGCUCGUGGUUUACGGAUGGCCUUGACGACUCGUUGCAAGACAUUGAUCUUUCUGGCGCCCUAGAAAUCCCAGACGAUGACCUCACCCAGCUGGGAUUUAUGUAAGGAGAAGGAAGCAAUCGUUGUUUGUCCUGUGCAUAUACAUGUCUUUCCUUCACCUAAUGUAUGGUAGCGCUGAUCCAUUGAUCUCCCUGCCACAACCUGGUAGGUCAGAGGUUGUAAUCUGUAAUUAGGCUGUUGGAUUCGUGUCGAUAUUCAGUGUCUGCUGGCAUGGACUGGAUAGUUGCAGAUGAGGCGAGGUAGCAGCAACAAGAACAUGCUGAGAUUUGUUAAUGUUAUCCUGUAGUUUGUGCUUCU